UACAUAAUGACAGUGUGCAGUCAGGUAUUUUCUUUGCCUCGGAUCUUGUGAACUGUGACUGAGCCGGCCUAUUGACAAACAGACAUUUUUGUAUUGUCAAACAGUGUACCCAUCCGUUGAAUACUAUCUUCUUGGUAGUUGGUUGGCAUGGGAUAGUUCCUGUAGAUCUCACAUGAUUAUCUUCCAUUAUAAAACCGAGUUGCACAAUCAACUACAAAAUUUCUGAUGCAUCUAGAUUUGUCAUAUCCAAGUAGAGACUAGUCAAAGUUCUUACCAUGAAUCAUCAAAGGAGAUAGAUAUAGUAUGUUCCUGUGAAGUCUUAAAGUCCACACUCUUUGGACAAACACCCUUCAGGUCUAAGACAGCGAAGAAAAAUGGUCUGACAAAAGAAAAUUAUAGCAAUCAGAUAUCCUUGAAACAUUUCUCAUAUUGGCUCCUGCAAUUAGGGAUGCCAGCAUGUCAACCAAGGAAAAGAAUAACUAGCAUAGGUGAAAUUGGAUUUCUACUUGGUAUGGAGUGGGUUUUGGGUUGAACACCCCCCCCCCACCCCGGAAAAAAAACAAAAUGCUACUUUUAAUGUUGAAUGUGCUACUCGUUCAUAUGCUUUUGCUUUAUUUGAAGGAAGCGUAUGCUAUAAAAACCAGCUUCGUAAGCAAACUCUCAUCAAGAGCAUAGGAUGAUCAUCUGAUGGUCAGAGGCAAUGGUGGAAUAUUUUUCACUUAACCCCCCCCCCCCCCACACACACACACACCCCCACAUCAUCCUACGCCAGCAGCUUCGCGAACGCCGGCAGUCCUUCCUUGGCGAGGUGCCGCAUGAGGUCGUCCAGGUCAGGGCCGGGGUCCUCGUCGUCGAGGAAUUCGAUCCGGACGCGUCCCCGGCCGAGGGCGACGCCAUCGCCGCUGGCCGACACGCCCGUGGACGCGGCCAGCUUCACGCCGAAGGUGGAGACCGAGGAGAAGGUCACCAGGAGACCUUUCGCCGCGAUGCGCUUCACCAGGCGGAGCAUCGGGUUCACGUGGCCUUGGCCAGGGAAGCAGAUUAGGAGCAGGUGUGGCGGGGCGCCGCUCGCUGUCGCUGCUGCUGCUGCCACGGUGGGCGCGGCCGCUGCUUCCUCACCCAUGGAUCGGACUCGGACCUCUGCUGCCACGUCUUCGUCGGGACUCGCCCCUGAGCUAGCCGGCAAAGUGCAGUGGUGGACCCGUGAAUCACCUUCCGGCCGGCUGAACGCAGCGUGGAGAAUACAAAGCCACCAGUGCACCUUCAGGGUAGGAUGAGUGGGGGGUUUAAGUAGAAAAUAUCCCACCAUUGCCUCUAACCAUCGGAUGAUCAUCCUACGCUCCUGAUGAGAGUUUGCAUAGUUUGCAUACGAAGCUGGUUUCCAUAGCAUACGCUCCCUUAUUUGAAUAAAUCAAUAAGCUUCAUCUUCAAACAAUUUACUGUUGCCCUUUUUGUGGCAGAAGAUUGGGGCAUUUCUGGUUCCAGACUAUCCUUUGGGCACCAAAUUCCUAAAAUCUGGAGCGGCAAUAUUGUUAGGUUCACAUGGUGGAUGCACCUUCAGUUCGUCACCUGCAGGUUCCGUUUGUUUCUAUAUGACCAGUAGAAUGUGCAUCCCAAGUGUCGAGAAGCAAAAGUGGCAUGGGGUAUAUGCUGAUUUGGCUCUUCUUUUAUAUAUAAGCUUUUGUAUCGCAUACAGAUAGUCCAUGAAAAUGUAUUGCUUGACACUAAUAUCAAUGUCAAAUUUUCAU
rnacentral:lncRNA from 1 species